UACGGGGGGGGCAAGCGUUGUUCGGAAUUACUGGGCGUAAAGGGCUCGUAGGUGGCCAACUAAGUCAGACGUGAAAUCCCUCGGCUUAACCGGGGAACUGCGUCUGAUACUGGAUGGCUUGAGUUUGGGAGAGGGACGCGGAAUUCCAGGUGUAGCGGUGAAAUGCGUAGAUAUACGGAGGAACACCUGCGGCGAAGGCGGGUAGCUGGGCCAACACUGACGCUGAGACGCGAAAGCUAGGGGAGCAAACGGG
rnacentral:rRNA from 1 species